rnacentral:ncRNA from 2 species
UUUCCUGAGGGGCGCUGCAGCGGAUCUUCCGUCAGGCUCGGGGAAUGCUUUCUUAACCAACGGCGCUCUUCAAUU